GGGGUUGUGGCUCAAGUGGUAGAGUGCUCACCUAGCACAUGUGAGGCACUAAGUUCGAUUCUCAGCACCACA
rnacentral:tRNA from 1 species